AACAUUAUCACAUUAGCUUAGUGUGAAAUUGAAGCAUCUAAGAAAAUCACUUAAAUAGAACAGGUAUCAUAUCAUUUUUAGAUAUGAAAACACUGUAAAUAUAAGUACAAAAAUUGAUUGUAAAUUUUAGAUUCAUAUGUCUUUUGAUCUUUUCCUCAUUUUUAUUCUGAAAGUGAAAUAAUUGAAUUGACAAGUGACAUAUGUAUCUAACCUGAUGCAAAAUCCAUACAACAAUUCCAGCAAACUCAACUAUUCCGAUGUAUCUAUCAAUCCAAGUAGCAUCUUCAGGUGCAUCAACAUCCACAACAGGUGCACUCAGAAUAUUGUGACGUGCUAGUAUUUUCACAGCUUCAGCCAAGGUAGCAUCUGAUUUUAUUUCAAUUUCUAUACAAGCAAACAUAAAAUUCACACUUUUAGAACAAACCCAAUAAAAACACACCACAAAAAAAUUAUAACACACACACACAAUAACACAUCAAUUGGUCACACAUGCAUGUUUGGUACCAUAGUUGGUUGGUUUGUCAGAAUCACGGUGAACCACCAUGAUUCUGAUAUACUAUCGUGAUACCAAACAUGCACAUAAAUUUUCAUCUGGGUGUGAUCAAAAUCACUUUUUCUUUUAUUCAAUCAAAAUCAGACACAUACAUACAUAGACACUAAACUACCUUGGUUUUUAGCAGGCAAAGGAAAAGCAGAAACAGGUAUGCUUUCAAAACAAGCAUUAAGUUUGUCAUUAGGACUUAAUUGUGCCUCUUGAACAUCCCAUAGAUCUUCAACUCUCAUCCCAAGUUUGGCUUCAGGGCUCCUUGGCAUCUCUCUCAUUGUAGCCAUUGCCAUUACUCCCUCUUCUUUUCUCUCUCUGUGUAACUGCAUGAUGAAUUGAUGAUGAUGACAAUAUUAUAAGAUCUCUAUGUUUUUGUCUUUUUCUCUUUACUACUCCCAACACAUUGUUCCAUAAUAAUAAACUGAAAAAUGGGAUCUAAAAUCUACUAAAAC
rnacentral:lncRNA from 1 species